rnacentral:rRNA from 1 species
AGGACGAACGCUGGCGGCGUGCUUAACACAUGCAAGUGGAGCGACGAACCAGGGCUUGCCCUGGGGCAGAGCCGCGAACGGGUGAGUAACACGUGGGUUACGUGCCCCGAUGAUUGGGACAACCCGAGGAAACUCGGGCUAAUACCAAAUGUGCUCGUGUCCGUGAUGGACUCGAGGAAAGGAAGCUUCGGCCAGGGUGGGGCUCGCGGCCUAUCAGCUUGUUGGGGGGGUGACGGCCCACCAAGGCGACGACGGGUA